GCAGUCGUGGCCGAGUGGGUAAGGCGAUGGACUCGAAAUCCGUUGGGAUGUUAACAAGUAGGUUCGAAUCCUACCGAUUGCG